CUCAAAAGCCUGAAGCAAUGACAAAGGCUGUUCAAAGUGCUGGGGUACCAAGGAAAUGUACAUAUUUGGCUUAAUUCAUAAAACUGUCAUUGAAGGCCAGCUAAGAAGACCAAGAUUUUUGUCCAGGCUCUGCAGCUGUGAGACCACAGCAUUUCUUCCUGCCAUUACGUGAAGAAGGACAUGUUUGCUUCUCCUUCCACCAUGAUUGUAUGUUUCCUGAGGCCUCCCCAGCCAUGCAGAACUAAAGUUUGUCGACUCAUGACCUAGAUGACUGCAAGAGCCUACAAUGAAGUCCCUCUGCAAACAGAAGCAAAAGGCACAGUCUUCUCCUCCUAAAGCAAGUCCACAUCUCUACUCCAGAAAAGAGCAAACUAUUUACAACUAUUUAAAUACAGCCUUUUCAUCUUAAAAAUUACAUUAAGUUUCUGGAAUUCUGAUAUACCCAAUUCCAAGUAAGCAUGCUUUGAGCUGAAUUGAGCCUUUAGGAGUUGGAAUAUUUGGGACCUAGUCCCCAACCAAGUCUUCAGGACUUCUCAAAUAAUUAAUUCAGGUCAUACAAGAGAUUUGGUGAAUGAUACAGAGCAGUAGAAGUCCCAUAAAUGGGGGAAAGAGAAGACAUAGGGGUUACAGGAGAGGAGAGAAGGGUAUUGUUAGGGAAGUACAUGAAGUCAUAAAGUAGCACUUACUGAAGACCUGGGAUUUUCUAAUUAAGCCCAAGCAAUUCUCCUGAAUUCAGUUCAAUUUAUGGGUUCGUAUGCUAAAGAAAAAAAAUAUCAAUUCAUCUUGAUACUAUUUUGAUCAUUAUUUCCACAGGAAAGAUUUCCAACAUUCUUAUUCAGAUUGAAUUUCAUAGUAAAAUACCUACUUCAAA